CUGUCUGGCUGCUGGGGCCUGUGUGGCUGUCUACUACCUCUGUCAACACAACCUGCAGCGUGUGGUAACGUCCCCCAGUCCAGAGGAUGUCCUGACAGAGGCCUGGUCUCUGCUGCUGCCUGUAGCAGUGUGUGCCCUCAACACCUUCAUAUCACUACUCUACACACACACACACACCUGACUGGAGCGCUACGAUAGCCCACGUACACGCGUCUACGUCACGGUGCUCAGUGUGAUUGCCACCAGGUGUGUUGUGAAGCCGGCAGAGUUUGACGUGGCCAGGAACGUUCUAGAUCUGAUCAAUGCUCAGACCCUGGC